rnacentral:rRNA from 1 species
UUUCCCUCAGGAUAGCUGGCACUCGCUCGAUAGGCGAGUCUCAUCUGGUAAAGCGAAUGAUUAGAGGCCUUGGGGCCGAAACGACCUCAACCUAUUCUCAAACUUUAAAUGGGUGAGAUCUCUGGCUUGCUUGAACGUUGAAGCCAAGAGAUGACGGAUCAGAGUGCCAAGUGGGCCAAUUUUGGUAAGCAGAACUGGCGCUGUGGGA